GGGGCGGGAGGCGGCGGGCGGGGCCCGGCGGGGCGGGGCGGGCGCGUGCAGACCAGGGAUCCGCCGGGAUCCGCCCGCUGUUCCCCCCGCGAUCCCGCUGUGUCUUGCCUGGUGUCCCGCCGUAUCCCCUCGCGUCCCGCCGCACCACAGCGCGACCAUGUCCAAGUCGCUGAAGAAGAUCGUGGAGGAGAGCAGGGAGAAGAACCAGCCCGAGGUGGACAUGUGCGACCGGGGCAUCUCCAGCAUGCUGGACGUGCCUGGCCUGUUUACGUUGUCUCAUAUCACACAGCUAGUUCUGAGUCACAACAAACUUACAUCUGUGCCAGCAAACAUCGCAGACCUGAGAAAUAUAGAAGUGCUCAACUUUUUCAACAACCAGAUUGAGGAGCUGCCUACACAGAUUAGCAGCCUUCAGAAGCUCAAACAUCUGAACCUUGGCAUGAACAGGCUAAACACCUUGCCAAGGGGAUUUGGAUCUUUACCAGCUCUAGAAGUUCUUGACUUGACUUACAACAACUUAAAUGAAAAUUCCCUACCAGGAAACUUCUUCUAUCUAACCACCCUGCGUGCACUCUAUCUAAGUGACAACGAUUUUGAAAUCCUGCCGCCAGAUAUUGGGAAGCUCACAAAGUUGCAGAUACUGAGUCUUAGAGACAAUGACCUGAUAUCACUGCCUAAAGAAAUUGGUGAGCUCACCCAGCUUAAGGAACUGCAUAUCCAGGGAAAUCGUCUUACUGUGCUACCCCCAGAACUGGGUAAUUUGGAUUUGACUGGUCAAAAGCAAGUCUUCAAAGCAGAGAACAAUCCUUGGGUUACCCCUAUUGCUGACCAGUUCCAGCUUGGAGUAUCUCAUGUUUUUGAAUACAUUCGUUCAGAAACAUAUAAAUAGCCAGUGUCAGGAAGAUGGGCAGCAGCGAGGAUUUGAGUGGAUCCUGUGGUGAUAGGCGUGGUGAAAAUGGAUGCUCAGUGCUGGAUGAAAGCCUUUUUAUUUGCAAGCUGACUGGCAGCAAGAAUUAAGCCCUUGAUCCCACAUCCUUUAUAUUGGUCAGUGGAACAGUGCCAUAAGCAGAUUGCUCAGUCUUUAUGGCAGACACAUGCAGGCAAACCCUGAACCUCCAAAGAAGAACAAUGACAAGUCAAAGAAGAUCAGCCGUAAGCCUCUGGCAGCCAAGAACAAAUAAGUGCCUGGCUUCUGCCUCUGUUUUUAUAUCUUCUACAUUGCUUUUGCAUGUGCUUAUAAUAUUCCCUCACAUCUCCUGUUGCUUAUAAGAAAGCAGAGACUAGAAUUAAAUGCAAUUUACUAUGUAUACCGCUUUAGAAGGUACUGCUAGAGGGAUACAAAUUUAUAUAUUCUCCUAAUUAUGGUCACAUUUAUGUAGCCAUUUAAUACAUCACUGUUGAACAUAUUUUAGCUUUUCUAUUUAUAUGUAUAUUAAUGUCCUCUCUUCACAUGUGUCACAUGCUGUUAAUAUCAGGGGGUUUACACCUAUAUUAUAUGAUACUAAAUUUCAUAUUAUAUUCCAAUUGAUUUUAAUAAAGUUUUUAAUUUGUA